CUGAUGUUUUGACAACAUUAUUAAAGUAAUAUUUCCUCCUACAUAACAUUAUUUGUUCCUAAAAAAUAAGUUUGUAAUGUUUGUAAACACAGCAGGAAACUACUGAAACAACUUGUUUUUUUUUUAUUGUGAAGGCUUUAGUGGGCGUUUGAGCAGACUGGGUUAACAUUCACUCGUACUUCCUCAUUUCAGACAAAAGAGUUUGUUCUCUACACUGGUGAGAGGAGUCCAGGAUGCUGCAACCAAAUAUAGAGUCCAGUAAUGAAGUGUCCUUCGGGACCUGCAGUGUUUUGCUUCUCCAUCAUGUCAUUCUUCUAAUACAGUCUGUUGGAGCUCUGUCAGAGUUGAUUUGUUCACGUCAACCAAUCGUAGCCCUGGCUGGUGAUGAUGUCAUUUUGCCAUGUCACCUUGAACCUGCAGUCAGUGCCAGUUCUGAGACAGUGGUGUGGACCAAACCU